UACGUAGGGUGCAAGCGUUGUCCGGAAUUAUUGGGCGUAAAGAGCUCGUAGGCGGUUUGUCGCGUCUGCCGUGAAAGUCCGGGGCUCAACUCCGGAUCUGCGGUGGGUACGGGCAGACUAGAGUGAUGUAGGGGAGACUGGAAUUCCUGGUGUAGCGGUGAAAUGCGCAGAUAUCAGGAGGAACACCGGUGGCGAAGGCGGCAUCCUGGACCGACACUGACGCUGAGGAGCGAAAGCCAGGGGAGCAAACGGG
rnacentral:rRNA from 1 species